rnacentral:rRNA from 1 species
CCUACGGGGGGCAGCAGUGGGGAAUAUUGGGCAAUGGGCGCAAGCCUGACCCAGCAACGCCGCGUGAAGGAAGAAGGCUUUCGGGUUGUAAACUUCUUUUAUCAGGGACGAAGCAAGUGACGGUACCUGAUGAAUAAGCCACGGCUAACUACGUGCCAGCAGCCGCGGUAAUACGUAGGUGGCAAGCGUUAUCCGGAUUUACUGGGUGUAAAGGGCGUGUAGGCUGGAAAGCAAGUCAGAUGUGAAAACCCUGGGCUCAACCUGUGGCCUGCAUUUGAAACUGUUUUUCUUGAGUACUGGAGAGGCAGGCGGAAUUCCUAGUGUAGCGGUGAAAUGCGUAGAUAUUAGGAGGAACACCAGUGGCGAAGGCGGUCUGCUGGACAGCAACUGACGCUGAGGCGCGAAAGCGUGGGGAGCAAACAGGAUUAGAUACCCCGGUAGUC